GUCUAUGGCCACACCACCCUGAACACGCCCGAUCUCGUCUGGUCUCGGAAGCUAAGCAGGGUCGGGCCUGUUAGUACUUGGAUGGGAGAAAGGAAAAGAAGGCAAGACGAAAGAAAACCAAGGGAACUAUGUAUU
ensembl:rRNA 5S_rRNA 5S ribosomal RNA